rnacentral:rRNA from 1 species
AUUGAACGCUGGCGGAAUGCUUUACGCAUGCAAGUCGAACGGUAGAGGGGGCAACCCCUCGAGAGUGGCGAACGGGUGAGUAAUAUAUCGGAAUGUGCCCAGUCGUGGGGGAUAACGUAGCGAAAGUUACGCUAAUACCGCAUACGAUCUAAGGAUGAAAGCGGGGGAUCGCAAGACCUCGCGCGAUUGGAGCGGCCGAUAUCAGAUUAGGUAGUUGGUGGGGUAAAGGCUCACCAAGCCAACGAUCUGUAGCUGGUCUGAGAGGACGACCAGCCACACUGGAACUGAGACACGGUCCAGACUCCUACGGGAGGCAGCAGUGGGGAAUUUUGGACAAUGGACGCAAGUCUGGUCCAGCCAUUCCGCGUGCAGGAUGAAGGCCCUCGGGUUGUAAACUGCUUUUGUACGGAACGAAAAGGUCUCUCUUAAUACGGGGGACUCAUGACGGUACCGUAAGAAUAAGCACCGGCUAACUGCGUGCCAGCCGCCGCCGUAACAC